rnacentral:tRNA from 1 species
ACUAAGGUGGCUGAAAAUAGGCAAUAAACUGUAAAUUUAUUUAUGAAUUAAGUUUCUCUUAGUA